AUGGAAAUCACCCAGCAAGAGAACGCAGUGAUAAUGGGCCAACAGAAAACACAACAUCAAGAUGCUCGGAAAGGACUUUCUCUUUCGAACAAACAUAAUGGCACGUCAUUUUCAAUCGGCUAACCGUUUGGAAUAAGCGCUCAUCAUCGGUUUCAUGGCAGAGAAGUGAACAGGCAAAAGAAGGCGUCGUUUUUUCCGCAAGGUCGCUCUGGUGAAAAUUUCAGCGAAUUGCAAGGAAUAAACCACCCGAGGGACAGUACCCUUGCUGAUUCAGGACGAUUUCCCAUACUUUGUACCUUGCUAUUGAAUUUUAAUACCCGAUCGAAACGAUGGCAAGCGCUGCCGAUAACUGGGUCAAAAAGACGACGGAUCAAGAAAUUUCUGCACUCGGUUAACGAACUGAGUACAUAUCACCAAGGAUAAGGAUUCAGAGCCGGCGGCUGGCAGUCCAGAGAAAGAGAAUGGGGAAAAACCUAGUCCACCGGCAGUAGAACCAAAGCUGCACCUGAUGUUUGGAGUUCGGUAGCUACGGAAAUUCUGACUCUAGCAGCUCCUGAAGAAAAACAAGCUGCAAGAGAAAAUGGAGAAACAACUUCCUCCGCGGAAGAUGCAGAAGCGUUCAAGUAAGUCGAAAUCUGCAGAAAAUUUUGAUUAGGACAUAAGGAACAUUGAGAGCCUCUCUUUGUUUACUUUCUCUUUCGAUUAUUAUGACGUCACUAUAACACUUUGCCAUUUUCCAGUACAUAGCCGAUGGUUUUUACUAAAAUAUUAGGCAAAGAGUUGAGUACUAAAUAUUGAAACGACCGAGUAAUAAACAGAAGAGAACGACCCCAAAGAGAAUCUCAUUGUUGCUUACGUUCUAUUCUAAAUUUUCUCCCGAAAUGUUUAGUAUCAGCUUUAAAAUUAUCCAUGA